rnacentral:rRNA from 1 species
UACGUAGGCAGCAAGCGUUGUUCGGAAUUACUGGGCGUAAAGAGUGUGUAGGCGGUGCUCUAAGUUCGGUGUGAAAUCUCCCGCUUAACUGGGAGGGUGCGCCGGAAACUGGAGUGCUCGAGCGUGGGAGAGGAAAGCGGAAUCCUGGUGUAGCGGUGAAAUGCGUAGAUAUCAGGAGGAACACCUGCGGUGUAGACGGCUUUCUGGACCAUUGCUGACGCUGAGACACGAAAGCGUGGGUAGCAAACAGG